CUACGAAGGGUGCGAGCGUUAAUCGGAAUUACUGGGCGUAAAGCGCGCGUAGGCGGUUGGAUAAGUCGGAUGUGAAAGCCCCGGGCUCAACCUGGGAAUUGCAUUCGAAACUGUCCGGCUAGAGUAUGGUAGAGGGAAGCGGAAUUCCACAUGUAGCGGUGAAAUGCGUAGAUAUGUGGAGGAACACCAGUGGCGAAGGCGGCUUCCUGGACCAAUACUGACGCUGAGGUGCGAAAGCGUGGGGAGCAAACAGGAUUAGAAACCCUAGUAGUCC
rnacentral:rRNA from 1 species